CCAUAGCGUAUAUUAAAGUUGUUGCAGUUAAAAAGCUCGUAGUUGAAUUUCGGGGUCAGUAGGUUGGUCAUGCCACUGGUAUGUACUGGUCUCACUGAUUCCUCCUUCCUGAUGAGCCGUAAUGCCAUUAAUUUGGUGUUGCGAGGAAUCUGGACUGUUACUUUGAAAAAAUUAGAGUGUUUAAAGCAGGCUAACGCUUGAAUACAUUAGCAUGGAAUAAUGAAAUAGGACGUUCGAUCUUAUUUUGUUGGUUUCUAAGAUUGACGUAAUGAUUAAUAGGG
rnacentral:rRNA from 1 species